CCUACGGGGGGCAGCAGUAGGGAAUCUUCCGCAAUGGACGAAAGUCUGACGGAGCAACGCCGCGUGAGCGACGAAGGGCGUCGGAUCGUAACGCUCUGUUGUUAGGGAAGAACAAGUACGGGAGGAAAUGACCGUACCUUGACGGUACCUAACGAGGAAGCCACGGCUAACUACGUGCCAGCAGCCGCGGUAAUACGUAGGUGGCAAGCGUUGCCCGGAAUUAUUGGGCGUAAAGCGCGGGCAGGCGGUCUUUUAAGUCGGAUGUGAAAUCUUGCGGCUCAACCGCAAGCGGUCAUUGUAAACUGGGGGACUUGAGUGCAGAAGAGGAAAGCGGAGGUCCACGUGUAGCGGUGAAAUGCGUAGAGAUGUGGAGGAACACCAGUAGCGAAGGCGGCUUUCUGGUCUGUAACUGACGCUGAGGCGCGAAAGCGGGGGGAGCAAACAGGAUUAGAUACCCUAGUAGUC
rnacentral:rRNA from 1 species